CGGUGGAGUAUGUGGUUUAAUUCGAUGCAACGCGAAGAACCUUACCUGGUCUUGACAUCCCGGAGACCCUUAGGAAACUAAGGGGUGGCUUCCAUCUGGAAGAAUCUGGAGACAGGUGCUGCAUGGCUGUCGUCAGCUCGUGUCGUGAGAUGUUGGGUUAAGUCCCGCAACGAGCGCAACCCUUGCCUUUAGUUGCCAGCAGUUCGGCUGGGCACUCUAAAGGGACUGCCGGUGUUAAACCGGAGGAAGGUGGGGAUGGCGUCAAGUCCUCAUGGCCUUUAUGACCAGGGCUACACACGUACUACAAUGGCCGAUACAAAGGGCAGCGACACUGCGAGGUGAAGCCAAUCCCGUAAAAUCGGUCUCAGUCCGGAUUGGAGUCUGCAACUCGACUCCAUGAAGUUGGAAUCGCUAGUAAUCGUGGAUCAGCAUGCCACGGUGAAUACGUUCCCGGGCCUU
rnacentral:rRNA from 1 species